GUGUUCGCUUCAGCAGCACAUACACUAAAAUUGGAACGAUACAGGGAAGAUUAGCAUGCCCCCUGCACAAGGAUGACAUGCAAAUUCAUGAAAAAUUAGUCUAGACU